rnacentral:rRNA from 1 species
UACGUAGGGUCCAAGCGUUAUCCGGAAUCACUGGGCGUAAAGCGUUUGUAGGCGGAAGUUUAAGUGAGAUGCGAAAUCUUGUGGCUCAACCAUAUAGACUGUAUCUCAUACUGGGCUUCUAGAAUAUAGCAGAGGUAAGUGGAAUUAGUAGUGUAGCGGUAAAAUGCGUAGAUAUUACUAGGAACACCAAUGGCGAAGGCAGCUUACUGGGCUAUUAUUGACGCUGAGAAACGAAAGCGUGGGGAGCGAACAGGAUUAGAUACCCUGGUAGUCCACGCCGUAAACGAUGUGUGCUAUUAGUUCGAGGUAUCGACCCCUUGGGCUGAACAGCUAACGCGUUAAGCACACCGCCUGGGGAGUACGAGCGCAAGCUUAAA